GACGAACGCUGGCGGCGUGCCUAAUACAUGCAAGUCGAACGCUGAAGGAGGAGCUUGCUCUUCUGGAUGAGUUGCGAACGGGUGAGUAACGCGUAGGUAACCUGCCUGGUAGCGGGGGAUAACUAUUGGAAACGAUAGCUAAUACCGCAUAACAGUAGAUGUUGCAUGACAUUUACUUAAAAGGUGCAAUUGCAUCACUACCAGAUGGACCUGCGUUGUAUUAGCUAGUUGGUGGGGUAACGGCUCACCAAGGCGACGAUACAUAGCCGACCUGAGAGGGUGAUCGGCCACACUGGGACUGAGACACGGCCCAGACUCCUACGGGAGGCAGCAGUAGGGAAUCUUCGGCAAUGGACGGAAGUCUGACCGAGCAACGCCGCGUGAGUGAAGAAGGUUUUCGGAUCGUAAAGCUCUGUUGUAAGAGAAGAACGAGUGUGAGAGUGGAAAGUUCACACUGUGACGGUAUCUUACCAGAAAGAGACGGCUAACUACGUG
rnacentral:rRNA from 1 species